GUGCCAGCAGCCGCGGUAACACGUAUGGGGCAAGCGUUGUUCGGAAUCACUGGGCGUAAAGGGCGUGUAGGCGGUUCGAAAAGCCCGGCGUGAAAGGUAUCGGCUCAACCGAUAGACGGCGCUGGGAACUGCCGGACUGGAGUCAUGGAGGGGGAGCUGGAAUUCCAGGUGUAGGGGUGAAAUCUGUAGAGAUCUGGAAGAACACCGGUGGCGAAGGCGAGCUUCUGGCCAAUGACUGACGCUGAGGCGCGAAAGCGUGGGGAGCAAACAGGAUUAGAUACCCUUGUAGUCC
rnacentral:rRNA from 1 species